UACGAAGGGUGCAAGCGUUACUCGGAAUUACUGGGCGUAAAGCGUGCGUAGGCGGUUUGUUAAGUCUGUCGUGAAAGCCCUGGGCUCAACCUGGGAAUGGCGAUGGAUACUGGCAAGCUAGAGUACGGUAGAGGAUGGUGGAAUUCCCGGUGUAGCGGUGAAAUGCGUAGAGAUCGGGAGGAACACCCGUGGCGAAGGCGGCCAUCUGGACCAGUACUGACGCUGAGGCACGAAAGUGUGGGGAGCAAACAGG
rnacentral:rRNA from 1 species